AGGCAUCUUACCUGGUAGGGACCCUUUUGGAACAAUUUGCUGUUGCUCUUUUUGGUUUGCACUAAGGUGUAAAAGAACCAUGGUCCCUGAGCUUUCUGUCUGUCUUUUGUGGCAGCGCAGAAUUGAAUUGGGGAAUAAUGUC
rnacentral:snoRNA from 1 species